rnacentral:rRNA from 1 species
CGCCCAACAGCUAGCCCACCAACACAACAACAACCAACCACUAUUUAUAAACCCAAAGACACGAAUAUUUAUAUUAAACAAACCAUUUUACCCCUUUAGUAUGGGCGACAGAAAAAGGACUAAGGAGCAAUAGAGAAAAUACCGCAAGGGAUCGCUGAAAGAGAAAUGAAACAACCCAGUGAAGCUAAGUAAAGCAGAGAUUUGCUCUCGUACCUUUUGCAUCAUGAUUUAGCCAGCGUGACCCAAGUAAAGAGUACUUAAUUUGACACCCCGAAACUAGGGGAGCUACUCCAAGACAGCCUAUAUUAUAGGGCAAACCCGUCUCUGUGGCAAAAGAGUGGGAUGAGCUUUGAGUAGAGGUGAUAAACCUACCGAACCUAGUUAUAGCUGGUUGCCCGAGAAUUGGAUAGAAGUUCAGCCUCCCAGCUUCUUUGUUCAUCUUAGUAUUACCCCUACCUGAUACCACAAGAAACUGUGAGAGUUAGUCAAAGGGGGUACAGCCCCUUUGAAAUAAGAUACAACUUUCCCGGGAGGAUAAAGAUCAUA